rnacentral:rRNA from 1 species
CGAGGCGAACCGGGGGAACUGAAACAUCUAAGUACCCCGAGGAAAAGAAAUCAACCGAGAUUCCCCCAGUAGCGGCGAGCGAACGGGGAGGAGCCCAGAGUCUGAAUCAGUUUGUGUGUUAGUGGAACGGUCUGGAAAGUCCGGCGAUACAGGGUGACAGCCCCGUACACGAAAGCACACAUGCUGUGAACUCGAAGAGUAGGGCGGGACACGUGGUAUCCUGUCUGAAUAUGGGGGGA